rnacentral:rRNA from 1 species
GGGGAAUAUUGCACAAUGGGCGCAAGCCUGAUGCAGCGACGCCGCGUGAGGGAUGACGGCCUUCGGGUUGUAAACCUCUUUCAGUAGGGAAGAAGCGAAAGUGACGGUACCUGCAGAAGAAGCGCCGGCUAACUACGUGCCAGCAGCCGCGGUAAUACGUAGGGCGCGAGCGUUAUCCGGAAUUAUUGGGCGUAAAGAGCUCGUAGGCGGUUUGUCGCGUCUGCCGUGAAAGUCCGGGGCUUAACCCCGGAUCUGCGGUGGGUACGGGCAGACUAGAGUGCAGUAGGGGAGACUGGAAUUCCUGGUGUAGCGGUGAAAUGCGCAGAUAUCAGGAGGAACACCGAUGGCGAAGGCAGGUCUCUGGGCUGUAACUGACGCUGAGGAGCGAAAGCAUGGGGAGCGAACAGGAUUAGAUACCCUGGUAGUCCAUGCCGUAAACGUUGGGCACUAGGUGUGGGGGACAUUCCACGUUUUCCGCGCCGUAGCUAACGCAUUAAGUGCCCCGCCUGGGGAGUACGGCCGCAAGGCUA